UCUUUGUACCCGAUUUUUGGUGUUCCAUUUGCGAAAUCUUGCAAUCGGAAUGAAAAGGGAAUCAGGUGAAAAUCCUGAACAGACCCGCUGCUGUAAGCUCCAUUGAUCAUCCUUGUACAAUACUCAUUUCCACUGUUCCGAUUUCCGGAAUGGGAAGGACGUACCAAGGAGGAGUAAGUCAGAAGACCUGCCAAAGAAAUUCGUUCAAA
rnacentral:ncRNA from 2 species